rnacentral:lncRNA from 1 species
GUUCAAUAUGCUAAACUCAAUAAAGCAGGACAAUAAUGUUAGUUUCACUAGGAUUAUAAUCCCAAUCUAGGUGGCGCUAAUGUGACAAUAAAUGAUAACUGUCCAUAUUUCAUUUUGCCUAUCACAUAGUGCCGCAUAAACUGCCUUUCUCCCUCAAUUUUAUUCAAUUUUGUCCAACCUAAUGUCUCGAACAUAUCCAAGAAAUUUAAAAUUGUAAAGUCUGAACCAUCGACAUGAGGUUCAUUGGAAAAUUCUUUCAAUUUCAUCCAUUCCAUUUCAAUUAUAUAAUCAAACAGUGUAGAUAAUCAUUCGAAUCAAGAUAUUCCAUUACUAAUUUGCAAACUAAUAAAAACUACAAUGUCUACGAGGAUAGCUCCAAAGGCAUAACUCGCCAAUUAAGACAAAGAGUCCAUUACAACGGAAGGAAUGAGAUAACUGGUGCACAACAAAAGCAGAUGGGUCAACUCGAUCCAAAGUCCAACUAUGAGCUUUUUAAGUUAGAAGGCUUAAAUAUACACCAUGGAAGCUGGAAUUACUACAUGGAUAUAACAAAACGAAGCAACUAGUUUAAUUAUCAAGCUUCAAAUUCUCCUAGUUGUACAUCCUUAGACUUCAAAGGAACGUAGUCUCCAAGAUAACCUCCAAGAUGAUCUGCUAAUGAGGGCUUAUCGAUUCUCUCACGAUGAUAUGAUUUACAGAUAAAAUAUAUAAUUGUCUGAAUCACAAGCCCAAAAAGAAAAAGUACACAAAUAAGCACAACAAAAAGUAUUCCAUACAAAAUUCUGGAGGCAACCCCACCUCCAAAUCCAAGAACCACAUAAUACUCAAAUCCCAGCUGAAUUCCAAAGAAAAUUAGGCUAAGUACAAGAAAAGUUGCAGCAGAUAUGCCUGUUUUUCCCCUGAUCAAACCUUGGCUCUUGGCCACUGCAUUUAGCCCAUAAAAUUCUUCCAAUACUGAAACCACACUUGCUAAAUGCCAAAUUAUACUGAUGUAAACAAACCCACUUAGGUAAAUCACAGCAAGAGAAAUUAAAAUAAUUGGACCCACAAAUUGUACUGUUCCAAAAAGAAGAGCCCACGAAAUGAAUAUCAAUAUAGAUACAAUAUUGUAUGCAAAAACUAUGAGAGAAUUCCAUAUGAAUGUCACCAUAAGCCUUUUCCAAACCUUUGGGACUACCUUAAUCACUUUUUUAAGAUUAAUUUCAUUUGAAGUGUAUAUGGACGCAAUUGUAUAAACAACUGCAGAGGUUGAAAGAAGGCCAAGAAUUAGAAAGAAAAUGAAAUACCCAAUUUUGAAAAGAAAAAAAGCAGUCAAUUCAGAGGAUAAAAUAUCUGAAAUUUUAUCAUAUGAACGGGUGCCCUUUGGGAUUCUAUGAAGAAUAUAUUCAUGGAACAUGAUGUCUGAAAAGAGAAUAUGUGAGAUUUGAAUAUGGCCCAAGUAGAUUAAGGAAAGAGGGAGGAUCAUGGCUAUUGUUAUUUGAGUGAAAAUCUUGAUCCAUGAUGAAAUUAUAACGAAUGAUUCUUUGAAGAUGUCGAAGAACCCAAGAAACUGAAAUUCCCCCUCUUCUCUGUCCAUCAUUUUGCCCCUAAACGUUGAAGAACAAAUGGAUUAUAAUUAAUUUGGUAAUGAUGGUUGAAGUGAGCAAUGAAUACAUAUAGAAGAUGAAGGGCAGAUACAUCUUAUGGGAGGAAGACUUUGACUUGUUGAAUCUUGCCAUUUGGUGUUGACUCUUGAGUCAAGUAGGAAUACAGUGCGCUA